rnacentral:rRNA from 1 species
UAGAACGCUGGCGGCAGGCCUAACACAUGCAAGUCGAACGGUAACAGGAAGAAGCUUGCUUCUUUGCUGACGAGUGGCGGACGGGUGAGUAAUGUCUGGGAAACUGCCUGAUGGAGGGGGAUAACUACUGGAAACGGUAGCUAAUACCGCAUAACGUCGCAAGACCAAAGAGGGGGACCUUCGGGCCUCUUGCCAUCGGAUGUGCCCAGAUGGGAUUAGCUAGUAGGUGGGGUAACGGCUCACCUAGGCGACGAUCCCUAGCUGGUCUGAGAGGAUGACCAGCCACACUGGAACUGAGACACGGUCCAGACUCCUACGGGAGGCAGCAGUGGGGAAUAUUGCACAAUGGGCGCAAGCCUGAUGCAGCCAUGCCGCGUGUAUGAAGAAGGCCUUCGGGUUGUAAAGUACUUUCAGCGGGGAGGAAGGGAGUAAAGUUAAUACCUUUGCUCAUUGACGUUACCCGCAGAAGAAGCACCGGCUAACUCCGUGCCAGUAGCCGCGGUAAUACGGAGGGCGCAAGCGUUAAUCGGAAUUACUGGGCGUAAAGCGCACGCAGGCGGUUUGUUAGUCAGAUGUGAAAUCCCCGGGCUCAACCUGGGAACUGCAUCUGAUACUGGCAAGCUUGAGUCUCGUAGAGGGGGGUAGAAUUCCAGGUGUAGCGGUGAAAUGCGUAGAGAUCUGGAGGAAUACCGGUGGCGAAGGCGGCCCCCUGGACGAAGACUGACGCUCAGGUGCGAAAGCGUGGGGAGCAAACAGGAUUAGAUACCCUGGUAGUCCACGCCGUAAACGAUGUCGACUUGGAGGUUGUGCCCUUGAGGCGUGGCUUCCGGAGCUAACGCGUUAAGUCGACCGCCUGGGGAGUACGGCCGCAAGGUUAAAACUCAAAUGAAUUGACGGGGGCCCGCACAAGCGGUGGAGCAUGUGGUUUAAUUCGAUGCAACGCGAAGAACCUUACCUGGUCUUGACAUCCACGGAAGUUUUCAGAGAUGAGAAUGUGCCUUCGGGAACCGUGAGACAGGUGCUGCAUGGCUGUCGUCAGCUCGUGUUGUGAAAUGUUGGGUUAAGUCCCGCAACGAGCGCAACCCUUAUCCUUUGUUGCCAGCGGUCCGGCCGGGAACUCAAAGGAGACUGCCAGUGAUAAACUGGAGGAAGGUGGGGAUGACGUCAAGUCAUCAUGGCCCUUACGACCAGGGCUACACACGUGCUACAAUGGCGCAUACAAAGAGAAGCGACCUCGCGAGAGCAAGCGGACCUCAUAAAGUGCGUCGUAGUCCGGAUUGGAGUCUGCAACUCGACUCCAUGAAGUCGGAAUCGCUAGUAAUCGUGGAUCAGAAUGCCACGGUGAAUACGUUCCCGGGCCU